rnacentral:rRNA from 1 species
AAUCAACGCUGGCGGCGUGCCUAACACAUGCAAGUCGAACGCGAGAGUCCCGCAAGGGACAAUUGAGUGGCAAACGGGUGAGUAACACGUGGGUGACCUGCCUUCGAGUGGGGGAUAACGUCCCGAAAGGGACGCUAAUACCGCAUGACAUCCUGCCUUUGGACAGGCGGAGAUCAAAGCCGGGGAUCGCAAGACCUGGCGCUUGAAGAGGGGCCCGCGUCUGAUUAGCUAGUGGUGAGGUAACGGCUCACCAAGGCGACGAUCAGUAUCCGGCCUGAGAGGGCGGACGGACACACUGGGACUGAGACACGGCCCAGACUCCUACGGGAGGCAGCAGUGGGGAAUUGUUCGCAAUGGGCGCAAGCCUGACGACGCAACGCCGCGUGGAGGACGAAGAUCUUCGGGUCGUAAACUCCUGUCGAGUGGAAAGAAUAA